rnacentral:lncRNA from 1 species
GUGGACUCGAACUUUCCUCAUAUUGCCCCGUUCUCUGUCUCAGUCUGUUGUAUGGACCUACACACUCUGGAGUGCAUGAUUCCCGAGAUAUUCCAAUUCUACAAAGAUAGGGAUUUUUUUGCUUCAGUUGUUCCUGGCCAACAAUUGUUUCCUCAUUCCAAAAUGUAUGUGAGAGGGCAUAGUCUACCUAAGCUGCAGGAAUAGAUCUAAAAGGUGUUUCCUGGCUUCGAUCUUCAGGCAGUUUUUAUUGAAGUGGAGGCCAAGGCAGAGAUUCUUGUGUGAG